CUCCUGUUACGUAUACUGAAGGUAUACCGGAAAAGAAUACACUCAGGAUACAUUCAGUAUACGUACAGGCG
rfam:Zootermopsis nevadensis contig12823, whole genome shotgun sequence.